rnacentral:rRNA from 1 species
UACGGGGGGGGCAAGCGUUGUUCGGAAUUACUGGGCGUAAAGGGCUCGUAGGUGGCCAACUAAGUCAGACGUGAAAUCCCUCGGCUUAACCGGGGAACUGCGUCUGAUACUGGAUGGCUUGAGUUUGGGAGAGGGACGCGGAAUUCCAGGUGUAGCGGUGAAAUGCGUAGAUAUCUGGAGGAACACCGGUGGCGAAGGCGACAUCCUGGACCGGUAUUGACGCUGAGGCGCGAAAGCCAGGGGAGCAAACGGG